rnacentral:rRNA from 1 species
CAGUAGCCACGGUAAUACGAAGGGUGCAAGCGUUACUCGGAAUUACUGGGCGUAAAGCGUGCGUAGGUGGUGGUUUAAGUCCGUUGUGAAAGCCCUGGGCUCAACCUGGGAAUUGCAGUGGAUACUGGGUCACUAGAGUGUGGUAGAGGAUAGUGGAAUUUCCGGUGUAGCAGUGAAAUGCGUAGAGAUCGGAAGGAGCACCGAUGGCGAAGGCAGCCCCCUGGGCCAACACUGACGCUCAUGCACGAAAGCGUGGGGGGCAAACAGGAUUAGAUACCCCUGUAGUCCCUGUCUCUUAUAC